rnacentral:rRNA from 1 species
AAUCGCAGAUCAGAAUGCUGCGGUGAAUACGUUCCCGGGUCUUGUACACACCGCCCGUCACACCAUGGGAGCCAGGAAUGCCCGAAGCCAGUGGCCUAACCGCCAAGGGAGGAGCUGUCGAAGGCAGGCCCGGUAACUGGGGUGAAGUCGUAACAAGGUAAC